UAGUGACAUCAUAUUCCCUCGCCCCUGUAACGGGUAUAAUGACAUCAUAUUCCCUCGCCCUGUAACGGGUAUAAUGACAUCAUAUUCCCUCGCCCCUCUAGCAGGUAUAAUGACAUCAUAUUCCCUCGCCCCUCUUGCAGGUAUAAUGACAUCAUAUUCCCUCGCCCCUCUAGCAGGUAUAAUGACAUCAUAUCCCCUCGCCCCUCUAGCAGGCAUAAUGACAUCAUUUCCCCUCGCCCCUCUAACGGGUAUAAUGACAUCAUAUUAUGGUCACUGUAGAUCCUUUGUUGAGUCACAGUCAGACCUCAUAACUACAUCUUUCCACCAAUCCUGAAAUGCUGCAGCCUGGUCCCCGUAUGAUUGUGUUCUUGCUUACUCCAUUGUUGUCAUCGUUAACUCAACUUGGCAUGACCAUUAGUGACAAGGAGUUGGCAUGAUGGCACAAACAGACUGGUGCUCACGCUAGCAAUGUUGACAUUACUUAUGAUAAUAAGCCAGACAUUACUAUGGAGGACAAGCCAAAUAUCCCAUGCCGUGUAAAUGGGGUUAUGAAUUCCACCAGCCUUUCGUUACAUUGAUGAUGAAGGACAGAGGCGGACUUGGCUGUGUUUCAUCAGUGUCAAAUGAAACAGGCCCCCAAACAGCUGAAUCCACCCCUGCUGAAGAGGGUAAAGGGUUUAUCGGCAGCCCAGACAGUAUGAUAGUCCAUCACCCUCAGAGAAACAUGCAACGCCACCUCGUAGUGUGUGACUGUCUGUAUGUGAGGAGAGAUUGCUGUGUGUGUGUGUGUGUGUGUGUGUGUGUGUGUGUGUGUGUGUGUGUGUGUGUGAGACAAAGUGCAGUGUGUGUGUGUGUACAGCAUAAAAAAAAGUGUAUUUGAUGUGGGAUCUGAGAUAAACUGAAUGUAUUGUCAUGGCUGACCUCGGAUCAGAAUAGACUGGAAAAGCUGCGAUUCAGAUGACACCCUUUUUCCUUAUAUAGAGCCCUAUGGGCAUUGGUCAAAAGUAGUGCACUACAUAUGGAAUAGGAUCCCAUUGGGGAUACAAGCCCACUACUGUGGGAAGCUGUAAAAAAAAAAAAAUACUAUUCUCAGUGGAUUGUUAGUUCUGGAACUGCCCAAACCUGAAGUUACUCAUAAGACCUGGUCUGAGAACAGUUUUUAGAUGUUAUUUUAUUUCCCUUAUUGUUAACAGUUUGGGUCAGGAGGGAGAAAGCUGAUCACAGAUCAGGGUCCGUAUUCAUAAAUCCGGAUCGGUUUAGCCUUUUAUAUUAUAAUGAAAAGACAAGUGAGGGGGGGUAGUGGAACCUGAUCUGAGAUCAACACUCCUUCUCUCAGAUGAUUUCUGAAUACUGUACUUUGGGCUAGCAGUCCCUUUUGAACACUGAMGUACAGUAACACUUUGUCUGUAUGAGGCAUACGGGUCCUAGUAUUCAGUGACUCUUAUGUAUAGUUCUAUGUUAUGGGCCCUGUCUCAGAAUUUAAACGCUGUAUUUCCUCUGUUUUGCUGUACGAUCGAUUGAUUGAUCACGAUUUGUCGAGAUGUAUCACUGUCGAUCARAGUUUUUUGAUAAAAGCUGGAUGUCAUUGCUGAGAAUUGACUUACAUUUUUUUAAAGAAUAGCCAAUUCUAAAGAAAUCCCUCUUAUCACCACCCCUCUGCCAAUUUCCAAAGAUUGUUAAGAUUUUGAAAUGAAUAUAAGCCAUGAGGUAAUGUUUUUUUUUAAAAAGCAUUUAUAUCAGGACUUGGAGCAAAACAACCUUUUUUUGCCCCUCAAAAAAAAUAUCAUACAGGCAGUGAAUAUAAAUCAAUUUACAACAAAAUAAUUCCUCUCUAUACCUUUUAAUUUGGGAGAUUUUUUUUUUAAAUGCCCUGUUUUUGUAUUGUCUGCCAGUUUUCUUAGAGCUAAAAAUGCAAGAACCCUUGAAAUGCUAAAAAAAAAAAAAGAACUAGCAUAUUGCCUUAGAUUGUCUGUUCUCCUUGUAUAUUUUAAAGCUAUCUGUAUCAUAUUUGUAUUGUGAAUAUGUACAUUAUUGAAAUGGGGGGGGGGGGGCAUCAUUGAUCAACACAUCUCAGUUGCUGAGACAAGCAGUCUCUCUCUUUCUUAUCUGUGAUUGGUUGAAGGCUGUAUUAUUUGUAUAAUUUCAUACCCCUCUCCCCCAACUGUUGUCAGUCUGCUAUAUGGAAGAAAAAAAAGAUGAUGCAAUGGGAUAUUGAAGCAAUAUGUAAUAUAUUCUAUGAACUUUCUGGAGAAAGAAAGCCUACAGUGUUGCGCGCUGCUCUGAGAUGUAUUUCCCAGCUGUGUUGUUCACAAGAAACAUCGCACUGUUUGUUCCUUCGUUCCACCCGUCACUCACGCGUCAACGUUUGUAAUCUUUAGUGUGGAGCAUUUUAUGCAAAAGUUAGAUAUGCCGGCAGAAGUUUAAACACAGUUAUAUGCAAGUUGUCAACUAAUAAGGCUUCGCUGAUGCUAUUUGCAAUUUUGAUGUUGAAUAAUACCAUUGUAAAUAAAGAAUUGUUACUGCAACAUU